rnacentral:rRNA from 1 species
AAUCAACGCUGGCGGCGUGCCUCAGACAUGCAAGUCGAACGAUUAAAGCUCUCUUCGGAGAGUGUAUAGAGUGGCGCACGGGUGAGUAACACGUAAGUAAUCUACCCUCGAGUGGGGAAUAACAACCGGAAACGGUUGCUAAUACCGCAUAAUGCAGCGGCACCGCAAGGUGACAGUUGUUAAAGAUUUAUCGCUUGAGGAGGAGCUUGCGGCAGAUUAGCUAGUUGGUAGGGUAACGGCUUACCAAGGCUACGAUCUGUAACCGGUCUAAGAGGACGGUCGGUCACACUGACACUGAAUAACGGGUCAGACUCCUACGGGAGGCAGCAGUCGGGAAUUUUGGGCAAUGGGCGAAAGCCUGACCCAGCAACGCCGCGUGAAGGAUGAAGGCCUUAGGGUUGUAAAGCUCUUUUACCAGGGAUGAUAAUGACAGUACCUGGAGAAUAAGCUCCGGCUAACUCCGUG